rnacentral:rRNA from 1 species
UACGUAGGGUGCGAGCGUUAAUCGGAAUUACUGGGCGUAAAGCGUGCGCAGGCGGUUCGUUAAGUCCGCUGUGAAAGCCCCGGGCUCAACCUGGGAACUGCGGUUGAAACUGGCGAACUAGAAUCUGGCAGAGGGGGGUGGAAUUCCACGUGUAGCAGUGAAAUGCGUAGAGAUGUGGAGGAACACCGAUGGCGAAGGCAGCCCCCUGGGCUGAGAUUGACGCUCAGGCACGAAAGCGUGGGGAGCAAACAGG